rnacentral:rRNA from 1 species
AGAGUUUGAUCCGGGCUCACGAUGAACGCUAGCGGCAGGCCUAAUACAUGCAAGUCGGACGGGAUUGAGAAGCUUGCUUUUCAUGAGAGUGGCGCACGGGUGCGUAACACGUAUGUAACCUACCAUUGUCAGGGGGAUAGCCUCUCGAAAGAGAGAUUAACACCGCAUAACACUGAGAUCUGGCAUCAGAUUUCAAUCAAAUAUUUAUAGGACAAUGAUGGGCAUGCGGGACAUUAGCUAGAUGGUGAGGUAACGGCUCACCAUGGCGACGAUGUCUAGGGGAUCUGAGAGGAUGACCCCCCACACUGGUACUGAGACACGGACCAGACUCCUACGGGAGGCAGCAGUAAGGAAUAUUGGUCAAUGGAGGCAACUCUGAACCAGCCAUGCCGCGUGCAGGAAGACGGCCCUACGGGUUGUAAACUGCUUUUGUACCGGAAUAAACCUAGAUACGUGUAUCUAGCUGAAUGUACGGUAAGAAUAAGGAUCGGCUAACUCCGUGCCAGCAGCCGCGGUAAUACGGAGGAUCCAAGCGUUAUCCGGAUUUAUUGGGUUUAAAGGGUGCGUAACGCGGCUUGUUAAGUCAG